rnacentral:lncRNA from 1 species
AACAUGAAAUUUGACAAGAAUCAAGCUUAAUCAAUUAAGAACAAUAUCCAAGUGGUCUCAUAUCAAUAGCAUCAACCAAUUUCAUUUCACAAAGCAAAUAAGGAAAAGCAUGCAAGUUCAAAGCUCAUUGAAGCAAACAGAAUAAACCAAUCCACAUCAACUUAAAAAUGAUUCAAUAAAUCUCAAGAAAAAUCAUGGAUAAACAGCACACAUCACAUGAUCAUCACACCAAAAUUCAAGGCAUUUGGACAAGUAGAAGCAAGGCAUUUAAAUUCCCUAAGGCAAGGUAUGCACAAAC